UGCCAGCAGCCGCGGUAAUACGUAGGGUCCAAGCGUUAAUCGGAAUUACUGGGCGUAAAGCGUGCGCAGGCGGUCUCGCAAGUCCGAUGUGAAAUCCUCGGGCUUAACCUGGGAACUGCGUUGGAAACUAUGAGGCUCGAGUGCGGCAGAGGGGGGUGGAAUUCCAGGUGUAGCAGUGAAAUGCGUAGAGAUCUGGAGGAACACCGAUGGCGAAGGCAGCCCCCUGGGCUAGCACUGACGCUCAUGCACAAAAGCGUGGGGAGCAAACAGGAUUAGAUACCCUGGUAGUCCACGCCCUAAACGAUGGCAACUAGUUGUUGGAGGAUGAACUCCUUUAGUAACGCAGCUAACGCGUGAAGUUGCCCGCCUGGGGAGUACGGUCGCAAGAUAAACUCAAGAUAGG
rnacentral:rRNA from 1 species